UACGGAGGGUGCAAACGUUGCUCGGAAUCAUUGGGCGUAAAGCGCACGUAGGCGGUUCGUUAAGUUGGAUGUGAAAGCCCUCGGCUUAACCGAGGAAGUGCAUCCAAAACUGGCGGGCUUGAGUACGGAAGAGGGUCUCGGAAUUCCCGGUGUAGAGGUGAAAUUCGUAGAGAUCGGGAGGAACACCAGUGGCGAAGGCGGAGACCUGGGCCGAUACUGACGCUGAGGUGCGAAAGCGUGGGGAGCAAACAGG
rnacentral:rRNA from 1 species